UACAGAGGGUGCGAGCGUUAAUCGGAAUUACUGGGCGUAAAGGGCGCGUAGGCGGGCUGGCAAGUCGGUCGUGAAAUCCCUCGGCUCAACCGAGGAACGUCGAUCGAUACUGCUGUUCUUGAGGAUUGCAGAGGAGACUGGAAUUCCCGGUGUAGCGGUGAAAUGCGUAGAGAUCGGCAGGAACACCCAGGGGGAAACCAGUCGACUGGGCAUCUACUGACGCUGAGGUGCGAGAGCGUGGGGAGCGAACCGG
rnacentral:rRNA from 1 species